rnacentral:rRNA from 1 species
CCUACGGGCGGCAGCAGUGGGGAAUAUUGCGCAAUGGGCGAAAGCCUGACGCAGCGACGCCGCGUGAGGGAUGAAGGUCUUCGGAUCGUAAACCUCUGUCAGCAGGGAAGAACGGUCACUGUGCUAAUCAGCAGUGAAUUGACGGUACCUGCAAAGGAAGCACCGGCUCACUCCGUGCCAGCAGCCGCGGUAAUACGGAGGGUGCGAGCGUUAAUCGGAAUUACUGGGCGUAAAGCGCUCGUAGGCGGUAUGUCAAGUCAAGGGGGAAAUCCCCGCGCUCAACGUGGGAACUGCCUUUGAAACUGGCAAACUGGAGAGUGUGAGAGGAUAGUGGAAUUCCAGGUGUAGGAGUGAAAUCCGUAGAUAUCUGGAGGAACAUCGGUGGCGAAGGCGACUAUCUGGCACAUAACUGACGCUGAGGAGCGAAAGCGUGGGUAGCAAACAGGAUUAGAUACCCUAGUAGUC